rnacentral:rRNA from 1 species
GAUGAACGCUGGCGGCGUGCCUAAUACAUGCAAGUCGAGCGAACAGACGAGGAGCUUGCUCCUCUGACGUUAGCGGCGGACGGGUGAGUAACACGUGGAUAACCUACCUAUAAGACUGGGAUAACUUCAGGAAACCGGAGCUAAUACCGGAUAACAUGUUGAACCGCAUGGUUCAACAGUGAAAGACGGUCUUGCUGUCACUUAUAGAUGGAUCCGCGCCGCAUUAGCUAGUUGGUAAGGUAACGGCUUACCAAGGCAACGAUGCGUAGCCGACCUGAGAGGGUGAUCGGCCACACUGGAACUGAGACACGGUCCAGACUCCUACGGGAGGCAGCAGUAGGGAAUCUUCCGCAAUGGGCGAAAGCCUGACGGAGCAACGCCGCGUGAGUGAAGAAGGUCUUCGGAUCGUAAAACUCUGUUAUUAGGGAAGAACAAAUGUGUAAGUAACUAUGCACGUCUUGACGGUACCUAAUCAGAAAGCCACGGCUAACUACGUG